GGGUUGUGAGGUUAAGCGACUAAGCGUACACGGUGGAUGCCCUGGCAGUCAGAGGCGAUGAAGGGCGUGCUAAUCUGCGAUAAGCGCCGGUAAGGUGAUAUGAACCGUUAUAACCGGCGAUACCCGAAUGGGGAAACCCAGUGUGAUUCGUCACACUAUCAUUAACUGAAUCCAUAGGUUAAUGAGGCGAACCGGGGGAACUGAAACAUCUAAGUACCCCGAGGAAAAGAAAUCAACCGAGAUUCCCCCAGUAGCGGCGAGCGAACGGGGAGGAGCCCAGAGCCUGAAUCAGCAUGUGUGUUAGUGGAAGCGUCUGGAAAGGUGCGCGAUACAGGGUGACAGCCCCGUACACAAAAGCGCAUGUGCUGUGAGCUCGAUGAGUAGGGCGGGACACGUGGUAUCCUGUCUGAAUAUGGGGGGACCAUCCUCCAAGGCUAAAUACUCCUGACUGACCGAUAGUGAACCAGUACCGUGAGGGAAAGGCGAAAAGAACCCCGGCGAGGGGAGUGAAAAAGAACCUGAAACCGUGUACGUACAAGCAGUGGGAGCACAGGUUUACCUGUGUGACUGCGUACCUUUUGUAUAAUGGGUCAGCGACUUAUAUUCUGUAGCAAGGUUAACCGAAUAGGGGAGCCGGAGGGAAACCGAGUCUUAAUUGGGCGUUAAGUUGCAGGGUAUAGACCCGAAACCCGGUGAUCUAGCCAUGGGCAGGUUGAAGGUUGGGUAACACUAACUGGAGGACCGAACCGACUAAUGUUGAAAAAUUAGCGGAUGACCUGUGGCUGGGGGUGAAAGGCCAAUCAAACCGGGAGAUAGCUGGUUCUCCCCGAAAGCUAUUUAGGUAGCGCCUCGUGAAUUCAUCUCCGGGGUAGAGCACUGUUUCGGCUAGGGGCCAUCCCGGCUUACCAACCCGAUGCAAACUGCGAAUACCGGAGAAUGUUAUCACGGGAGACACACGGCGGGUGCUAACGUCCGUCGUGAAGAGGGAAACAACCCAGACCGCCAGCUAAGGUCCCAAAGUCAUGGUUAAGUGGGAAACGAUGUGGGAAGGCCCAGACAGCCAGGAUGUUGGCUUAGAAGCAGCCAUCAUUUAAAGAAAGCGUAAUAGCUCACUGGUCGAGUCGGCCUGCGCGGAAGAUGUAACGGGGCUAAACCAUGCACCGAAGCUGCGGCAGCGAACGUAUCACCCAAGACAACUUUACGGAGUUGACGAUUGACGGAGCGAAGCGACGUCAAAGCGUUCAUUAAAGUCGAGUUGGCUUAGGGAUACGUUCGUUGGGUAGGGGAGCGUUCUGUAAGCCUGUGAAGGUGUGUCGUGAGGCAUGCUGGAGGUAUCAGAAGUGCGAAUGCUGACAUAAGUAACGAUAAAGCGGGUGAAAAGCCCGCUCGCCGGAAGACCAAGGGUUCCUGUCCAACGUUAAUCGGGGCAGGGUGAGUCGACCCCUAAGGCGAGGCCGAAAGGCGUAGUCGAUGGGAAACGGGUUAAUAUUCCCGUACUUGGUGUUACUGCGAAGGGGGGACGGAGAAGGCUAUGUUGGCCGGGCGACGGUUGUCCCGGUUUAAGCGUGUAGGUGUGUGUUCCAGGUAAAUCCGGUUCACUUUAACACUGAGGCGUGACGACGAGGCACUACGGUGCUGAAGCAACAAAUGCCCUGCUUCCAGGAAAAGCCUCUAAGCAUCAGGUAACACGAAAUCGUACCCCAAACCGACACAGGUGGUCAGGUAGAGAAUACCAAGGCGCUUGAGAGAACUCGGGUGAAGGAACUAGGCAAAAUGGUGCCGUAACUUCGGGAGAAGGCACGCUGACACGUAGGUGAAGUGAUUUACUCAUGGAGCUGAAGUCAGUCGAAGAUACCAGCUGGCUGCAACUGUUUAUUAAAACACAGCACUGUGCAAACACGAAAGUGGACGUAUACGGUGUGACGCCUGCCCGGUGCCGGAAGGUUAAUUGAUGGGGUCAGCGUAAGCGAAGCUCCUGAUCGAAGCCCCGGUAAACGGCGGCCGUAACUAUAACGGUCCUAAGGUAGCGAAAUUCCUUGUCGGGUAAGUUCCGACCUGCACGAAUGGCGUAAUGAUGGCGAGGCUGUCUCCACCCGAGACUCAGUGAAAUUGAACUCGCUGUGAAGAUGCAGUGUACCCGCGGCAAGACGGAAAGACCCCGUGAACCUUUACUAUAGCUUGACACUGAACAUUGAGCCUUGAUGUGUAGGAUAGGUGGGAGGCUUUGAAGUGUGGACGCCAGUCUGCAUGGAGCCGACCUUGAAAUACCACCCUUUAAUGUUUGAUGUUCUAACGUGGACCCGUAAUCCGGGUUGCGGACAGUGUCUGGUGGGUAGUUUGACUGGGGCGGUCUCCUCCUAAAGAGUAACGGAGGAGCACGAAGGUUGGCUAAUCUGGUCGGACAUCAGGAGGUUAGUGCAAUGGCAUAAGCCAGCUUGACUGCGAGCGUGACGGCGCGAGCAGGUGCGAAAGCAGGUCAUAGUGAUCCGGUGGUUCUGAAUGGAAGGGCCAUCGCUCAACGGAUAAAAGGUACUCCGGGGAUAACAGGCUGAUACCGCCCAAGAGUUCAUAUCGACGGCGGUGUUUGGCACCUCGAUGUCGGCUCAUCACAUCCCGGGCUGAAGUAGGUCCCAAGGGUAUGGCUGUUCGCCAUUUAAAGUGGUACGCGAGCUGGGUUUAGAACGUCGUGAGACAGUUCGGUCCCUAUCUGCCGUGGGCGCUGGAGAACUGAGGGGGGCUGCUCCUAGUACGAGAGGACCGGAGUGGACGCAUCACUGGUGUUCGGGUUGUCAUGCCAAUGGCACUGCCCGGUAGCUAAAUGCGGAAGAGAUAAGUGCUGAAAGCAUCUAAGCACGAAACUUGCCCCGAGAUGAGUUCUCCCUGAGACUUAGAGUCUCCUGAAGGAACGUUGAAGACGACGACGUUGAUAGGCCGGGUGUGUAAGCGCAGCGAUGCGUUGAGCUAACCGGUACUAAUGAACCGUGAGGCUUAACCUUACAACGCCGAAG
rnacentral:rRNA from 1 species